rnacentral:rRNA from 1 species
AGUGAACGCUGGCGGUAGGCCUAACACAUGCAAGUCGAACGGCAGCACAGUAAGAGCUUGCUCUUACGGGUGGCGAGUGGCGGACGAGUGAGGAAUACAUCGGAAUCUACUUUUUCGUGGGGGAUAACGUAGGGAAACUUACGCUAAUACCGCAUACGAUCUACGGGUGAAAGCAGGGGAUCUUCGGACCUUGCGCGAUUGAAUGAGCCGAUGUCGGAUUAGCUAGUUGGCGGGGUAAAGGCCCACCAAGGCGACGAUCCGUAGCUGGUCUGAGAGGAUGAUCAGCCACACUGGAACUGAGACACGGUCCAGACUCCUACGGGAGGCAGCAGUGGGGAAUAUUGGACAAUGGGCGCAAGCCUGAUCCAGCCAUACCGCGUGGGUGAAGAAGGCCUUCGGGUUGUAAAGCCCUUUUGUUGGGAAAGAAAAGCAGCAGGUUAAUACCCCGCUGUUCUGACGGUACCCAAAGAAUAAGCACCGGCUAACUUCGUG